CGGUAUAUUGCUGGUGAAACCGCUACCGCUUCUGAGUCCCUCUGCUAGCGACUUCCUCCAGCGAGCGUUGCUAGCAGAGGGACUCAGGAACGGUGGCGGUUUCACCAGCGAUAUGCCG